rnacentral:piRNA from 1 species
ACUCUGUGAAUGUGAAUGGAAGCUUGG